CACGAAGCUGGAAUCGCUAGUAAUCGCGAAUCAGAAUGUCGCGGUGAAUACGUUCCCGGGUCUUGUACACACCGCCCGUCACACCAUGGGAGUCGGGAAUGCCCGAAGUCAGUGACCCAACCUAUUGGAGGGAGCUGCCGAAGGCAGGUCUGAUAACUGGGGUGAAGUCGUAACAAGGUAAC
rnacentral:rRNA from 1 species